rnacentral:rRNA from 1 species
UUUAUGGAGAGUUUGAUCCUGGCUCAGGAUGAACGCUGGCGGCGUGCCUAAUACAUGCAAGUCGAGCGAACGGACGAGAAGCUUGCUUCUCUGAUGUUAGCGGCGGACGGGUGAGUAACACGUGGAUAACCUACCUAUAAGACUGGGAUAACUUCGGGAAACCGGAGCUAAUACCGGAUAAUAUUUUGAACCGCAUGGUUCAAAAGUGAAAGACGGUCUUGCUGUCACUUAUAGAUGGAUCCGCGCUGCAUUAGCUAGUUGGUAAGGUAACGGCUUACCAAGGCAACGAUGCAUAGCCGACCUGAGAGGGUGAUCGGCCACACUGGAACUGAGACACGGUCCAGACUCCUACGGGAGGCAGCAGUAGGGAAUCUUCCGCAAUGGGCGAAAGCCUGACGGAGCAACGCCGCGUGAGUGAUGAAGGUCUUCGGAUCGUAAAACUCUGUUAUUAGGGAAGAACAUAUGUGUAAGUAACUGUGCACAUCUUGACGGUACCUAAUCAGAAAGCCACGGCUAACUACGUGCCAGCAGCCGCGGUAAUACGUAGGUGGCAAGCGUUAUCCGGAAUUAUUGGGCGUAAAGCGCGCGUAGGCGGUUUUUUAAGUCUGAUGUGAAAGCCCACGGCUCAACCGUGGAGGGUCAUUGGAAACUGGAAAACUUGAGUGCAGAAGAGGAAAGUGGAAUUCCAUGUGUAGCGGUGAAAUGCGCAGAGAUAUGGAGGAACACCAGUGGCGAAGGCGACUUUCUGGUCUGUAACUGACGCUGAUGUGCGAAAGCGUGGGGAUCAAACAGGAUUAGAUACCCUGGUAGUCCACGCCGUAAACGAUGAGUGCUAAGUGUUAGGGGGUUUCCGCCCCUUAGUGCUGCAGCUAACGCAUUAAGCACUCCGCCUGGGGAGUACGACCGCAAGGUUGAAACUCAAAGGAAUUGACGGGGACCCGCACAAGCGGUGGAGCAUGUGGUUUAAUUCGAAGCAACGCGAAGAACCUUACCAAAUCUUGACAUCCUUUGACAACUCUAGAGAUAGAGCCUUCCCCUUCGGGGGACAAAGUGACAGGUGGUGCAUGGUUGUCGUCAGCUCGUGUCGUGAGAUGUUGGGUUAAGUCCCGCAACGAGCGCAACCCUUAAGCUUAGUUACCAUCAUUAAGUUGGGCACUCUAAGUUGACUGCCGGUGACAAACCGGAGGAAGGUGGGGAUGACGUCAAAUCAUCAUGCCCCUUAUGAUUUGGGCUACACACGUGCUACAAUGGACAAUACAAAGGGCAGCGAAACCGCGAGGUCAAGCAAAUCCCAUAAAGUUGUUCUCAGUUCGGAUUGUAGUCUGCAACUCGACUACAUGAAGCUGGAAUCGCUAGUAAUCGUAGAUCAGCAUGCUACGGUGAAUACGUUCCCGGGUCUUGUACACACCGCCCGUCACACCACGAGAGUUUGUAACACCCGAAGCCGGUGGAGUAACCUUUUAGGAGCUAGCCGUCGAAGGUGGGACAAAUGAUUGGGGUGAAGUCGUAACAAGGUAGCCGUAUCGGAAGGUGCGGCUGGAUCACCUCCUUUCU